rnacentral:lncRNA from 1 species
CUAAGUCCUAACACAUUUUUGGUGUGGUCGUUCAUUACAUUACCUCUCCAUAACAUCAUUCCGAUAUUUAAGAAUACAUUUGAGGCAUUAAUCCUUUGAUUCUCGAGUUCAUUCAACCACAAAUUUGGAAAAAACAUCAAAUUAACAUAAUCCAAAGCACGCACUUCCUAUACACCUAUAAGCAGGUACUUUGUCAAGGACUUUUAAAGGUUGCUGAAGAUUGAGGGACAUUAGAUCAGAAGCACAUGAAAAGUACAAAAACAAGGUGUUCUUGAUGACACACAAGAGAUUG